AACUUUCAGUGGGUAAGUUCAGAGGUGCUGUGCUUUUUUCUUCCAUCACUGAGAAGCAACAUGGUCAGAGCUGUUAGAUUCACGGUCCUCUUGCUUUGUAUAAUAGGUGACACCAGAGGGAAUGAUGUCACACAGACUCCUACCAUUCUUUUUGUUCCCAAAGGAACAAAUGCUGAGAUGAACUGCAGUCACAACAAGGGUGCUGCUUACUUUCAAAUGUACUGGUAUCAGCAGCUCCCAGGGGAGAACAUUCAGCUCAUAGUGUUCACAUCCACUAGUUCCACUGAUCAUGACUACGGAACAUCAGAUAAAAAUAAAUUUGACGCCAUCAAAACUGUAGCUGAAAGAGGCUCUUUUACGGUGAAGAAUGUGGAGGCAGGAGACAGCGGAGUGUAUUUCUGUGCAGUAAGUCAACACAGCGCUGCAGGCUGA